rnacentral:rRNA from 1 species
GAUGAACGCUGGCGGCGCGCCUAACACAUGCAAGUCGAACGAUUAAAGCACCUUCGGGUGUGUAUAAAGUGGCGAACGGCUGAGUAACACGUGGGCAACCUGCCCCUUUCAUUGGGAUAGCCACGGGAAACCGUGGAUAAUACCGAAUACUUCGAGACUUCCGCAUGGAAGACUCGAGAAAGCUCCGGCGGAGGGGGAUGGGCCCGCGGCCUGUUAGCUUGUUGGUGGGGUAACGGCCUACCAAGGCAAUGAUGGGUAGCUGGGUUGAGAGACCGACCAGCCAGAUUGGGACUGAGACACGGCCCAGACUCCUACGGGAGGCAGCAGUGGGGAAUCUUGCACAAUGGGCGGAAGCCUGAUGCAGCGACGCCGCGUGCGGGAUGAAGGCCUUCGGGUUGUAAACCGCUUUCAGCAGGGACGAGGCGAAAGUGACGGUACCUGCAGAAGAAGCACCGGCUAACUACGUG